rnacentral:tRNA from 1 species
AUUAUUAUAGUUUAAAAAAAACAUUAAAUUGCAAAUUUAAAAAUUAAUUUUAAAAAUUAUAAUAAUU